rnacentral:rRNA from 1 species
AUGGGGUAUGGUCAAUGUAAUGGUGACCACACGGUGUUCUACAGACACUCACUCUCUAAUCGAAAGAUCACCAUUCUUGCAGUUUAUGUGGAUGACAUUAUCAUCACCGGAGAUGAUGAGGAGGAAAUAAAGAGAUUGAAGGGGUGUCUGAGCAAUGAGUUUGAGGUGAAGGAUUUGGGCAACCUAAAAUACUUCCUUGGGAUUGAAGUGGCCCGGACAGAGAAGGGAAUAUCUUUGUGCCAAAGGAAAUACACCUUGGAUCUCUUGAGUGACAUGGGCAUGAUGGGAUGUCGUGCAGCCCCUACGCCGAUUGAACAAAAUCAUCAAGUGACAGCUCAGUCAGGCGAGCUGGUGAAUAAGGAAGAUUAUCAGAAAUUGGUUGGGAGGUUAUUGUACUUGUGUCAUACCAGGCCUGACAUUACGUAUGCCGUGGGUGUGGUGAGCAGAUACAUGCAUGAACCAAGGAGUGGGCAUCUUGAUAUUGUGCACAGAAUUCUGAGAUACUUGAAGGGGACUCCGGGUAAAGGGUUGUGGUUUGCGAAGAGUGGACAUCUUGAGGUGGAUGGCUAUAGUGACUCUGAUUGGGCCAGUUGUCAAGAUGAUAGAAGAUCAACUUCUGGCUACUGUGUGUUUGUGGGAGGAAACUUGGUGUCAUGGAGAAGCAAGAAACAGGCUGUUGUGUCUAGAUCAACAGCAGAAGCCGAGUAUAGAGUAUUAUCUCAAGGGUUAUGUGAGAUGCUCUGGGUGAAGUACCUACUGAGCGAGUUGAAACUUCUGAGGAAGGGACCCUUGAAGGUGUGGUGUGACAAUCAGUCAGCUAUUGCCAUUGCUAAUAACCCAGUUCAGCAUGAUAGGACAAAACAUGUGGAAAUUGAUCGCUUCUUCAUUAAGGAGAAACUUGAUGCUGGGAUCAUCAGUCUUAUUCACGUCAGCUCUGGGCAACAGUUUGCAGAUUGCUUGACAAAGGGACUGGGAACGAAGGACUGUAACUUGGCAUGUGACAAGAUGGGGAUGAUAGAUAUCUACCACCCAUCUUGA